AGGUGCAUAUGAUUUCUCUAACUUUCUCACAAGUUAUGGUAAAGUACAUAAUCCAUUUCCUGAAAAUUCGAAAUCAAAGUUGUAAAAUCUACUACACUAGGGAUUACAAUAUGGAUGAAUGCUUUAGGUAUUCAAAAUGGCAAAGCAAUGAAACCAAUGGGGAACUUUGCAUAAAGCCUUUGAAAGCCAAAAACCACUUUAUUUGGCUGUAAGAGGAAGGAGUUGAGGAUCAAGGACAAUGUACACAGAACCAUCACAUGCAUUAACCAAUGUUCCAAAUCCUGGAUCUCUGGUAAGAAGAUAAAUACCAUAAUUUGAAGCCCUUAUGUUGGUGGGGGGAUAAUGAACUCGCAGAGAAGUAAUGCCCGAGCAUCUAAGAAAUCUAUGUUGAAGAACUUUUGGAUCCAAGGUAACCCUAAACCACAUCUCUUCCAUUUAUGUUUAAUGAUGAUGACGAACAUGGAAUUAUAUUCCCCACUGUGACGCAUUGGUAGUAUGAGCAGUCAUAACUUGCAAUGGCCUCACCUGUACGCUAGAAGACAAUGGUAGUUCUGUGAAUAUUCUAUUUAGAAGUGGGUUCAACAAAAUGUAGAUUGACCAUCCCUGGUUGUUUAUGGUUGAGCCAUUGUAUGAGUUUAGAGGUGACAAUUUGUCAAGGGGGACAAAUCACUUUAACGAUUUAAUUGGAUGAGGAACCAACAAUGUUCCAAUGAUAUAUGGACUUCUUGAUAAUAGAUAGCAAGUCUGCUUACAAUGGAAUCCUAAGAAGGCUAAGCUAAAGCAAUUACAAAUAGUAACAUCCAUUCACCAUCUCUUCAUGACAUUUUGAACUCCAAAAGGAGCGAUUAGCAUGAAGGGAUAAUGCGCCUGAGAUCGAGUGUUACCUCAACACGCAGAGAGAAGAAGCCCCAAGAACUCCAAUAAUUAAUACCACAUUGAUGGUAGAAAAUGGGAAACAUGCUUGAAAUCCUCGUUUAGGAAAGCGUAUAUCUAACAUUGCGAAUGAUCAGUUGAAAAAUUCUCGUCAGUAAGAAUGAUACUACAAAUACUAGGAGAAGUUUGGAUAUCGAAACUGCUAAAAUGAACCAAGAUUACAGAAAGGGUCGCAAUGACAAAAUGUACGAUUCAAACCUGAAAUGGUUAGAAGGCGAAUUUACCUUUGCCUAUAACGAAGUUUCAAUUGAAGGCGAAUCCCUAUCCGCCAAAUGCAAAAAUGUCGAAAAGAUAAGCCUUGAGCCAUCAAAAUGGAAAAAUUAAAAGCGAAGUUUUUUCAUCAAAGAAGAAACAAUGAAAAAUUGAGUUUUACCCAUCGACAUCUAAAUAGCUGUUGAAAGUGAGCCCAUUUUUUUUUUUUUUGCCCCCCGAGGCACUUCUCCAAUGGCAAAGGAAGGAUUCUCUCAAGGCUAGCAGUUCAGAAGUCGUGGGUGCGAUUCGUGGGGCUCUUGGAAGGCAAGACAUAUAUUGAAAGACAGGAUUUAUCCUGGAAGGCAGGAAUGUCUUGGAAGAUAAGGUGCAACGUGGGUUGGCUCACUAGUCACUUUGACAGUUCAGUUGGAGAGACGCUCGGACCCUGGUCAGUAGGAGGCACAUCCCGCGGUUUAAUUGGUUUGUGUGAAGAGGGGCCGGAUCACAGAUCCAAGGAAUAGUCGUUGAAGGCGGACACCUCGAAAAAAAAAAAAGUGAGCCCAUUUUCACCCAAGCAGAAGUCUAAUGCCAAAAUGGAAAUCACGAAGAAAGUCUUUUAGUUAAAUGCAUGUGAUAAGUACUAUAUAGUAAUGUUCAUUGGCAAUGGUCAAGAUAUUGAUCUUUAUAUUCU
rnacentral:lncRNA from 1 species